rnacentral:rRNA from 1 species
UACGGAGGGUGCGAGCGUUGUCCGGAUUUAUUGGGUUUAAAGGGUGCGUAGGUGGCUGAUUAAGUCAGUGGUGAAAUACAGCCGCUCAACGGUUGAGGUGCCAUUGAUACUGAUCAGCUUGAAAAGAAUUGGAGGCUGCCGGAAUGGAUGGUGUAGCGGUGAAAUGCGUAGAUAUCUGGAGGAACACCGGUGGCGAAGGCGGCAUUCUGGACCAUAACUGACACUGAGAGACGAAAGCCAGGGGAGCAAACGGG